AGCGAACGCUGGCGGUAGGCCUAACACAUGCAAGUCGAACGGCAGCACCGUAAGAGCUUGCUCCUACGGGCGGCGAGUGGCGGACGGGUGAGGUAUACUUCGGACUCUACUUUUCUGUGGGGGAUAACGUAGGGCAACUUACGCUAAUACCCCAUACGUCCUACGGGUGAAUUCAGGAGAUCUUCGGACCUUGCGCGAUGGCAUGAGCCGUCGUCGGUUUAGUGAGUUGGAGGGGAAAAGGCACACCACGGCGACGAUCCGUAGCUGGUCUGCGAGGAUGAUCAGCCACACGGGAACGGAGACACGGUCCAGGCUCCAACGGGAGGCAGCAGUGGGGAAUAUUGGACAAGGGGGGAAAGCCGAAUCCUGCCAGACCGCGGGGGGCAAGAAGGCCGUCGGGUGGAAAAGCCCUUUUGUAGGGAAAGACAAGUAGCAGGUUGAUAACCCGCUGUUCUGACGGUACCCAAAGAAUAAGCACCGGCUAACUUCGUG
rnacentral:rRNA from 1 species